rnacentral:lncRNA from 1 species
GCUGUCGCAACACGCCAAGUUUCUGGGUGCAGGUGGGAGCUGUCCAGCAGGGCCUGGAGCUGCAGGGGCUCCCAGCUGCUGCUCUGCCUCACAUCCUGGGAGCCACCGGCUCUGUUCUGCUGCACCAGGCAAACACCAGGGGUUGGUUUCAUCUCCUGUAAAAGCAAGAGAAACGGAUGUUUUAAAAAUAUCCUUAUGGAGGGCAGAUGACUGUUGUGUACGUAUAAAGUUACCUACCUCAGACCUCAGUUCUAUCAUCACUGAGCAUACAGUGCUCAGCUGAGCCUUUGUCAGCUGCUGGAACUAAGGACACGUUGAAGAACAGAUUUAUUGGGCUGCAGUGAGCACGCUAGAGGAGAAGUAAGACUGUCCCAUUGCAAGAGGUUUCAUUCUACUUCAUGCUGAACUAAAAGGAAUUGAUCAGUUUUGUGAUCAUUGUGAUCAUCCCAGUGUCCAUGAGAUGCAAAGAAAUAACGAAUCGGAGUGUCAUUUUGGAGUGAAAUCAAACCAAAGAUCCCAUGUAGGGCAGGACCAACUUUCCUGGGUAUCCUGAGCACAUGAGGAGACAGAUGCAAAGAAAUAACGAAUCGGAGUGUCGUCUUGGAGUGAAAUCAAACCAAAGAUCCCACGUAGGGCAGGACCAACUUUCCUGGGUUUCCUGAGCACAUGAGGAGAAAAAUCUGCAGAGACAGCUGGAGGAGCACAUGGGAUGGUGUGCAGCACAGAGGAGGGAGCCGGUAUGAGAAAAGCACCAAGAGCCAUGGCUGUGAGCAUGAACCCAGGACUGCCCACCUCCAGGCUCCUCACAGCAGGGCGCUGCCGCAUCCAGGUGGAGCCACGGCAGGACAGAUGUGGGAACACAACCUGAGGCUUCAGCAUCCUCUGGUAUCUCGUGAUACUUGCAUAGUCCCCAACCAAAUUCUCCCAAGCACUUUGCAGCCCAACCUCCGAUGUCUGUUAAGCCCUCCCUUCUGUUCUCUGCAGAAAACAGCAACGAGAGAGAGGGACCCCCAUUCGUGUGCCGACCUCAGAAAGCUUGAGAAAGACACCAGGCCUCAUCCAGUGCUCGCAGGGUCUGAGCAAAGCCCCACACAUAAUACCGCCACGUUAUUCCUUUUCACGUGGCCGCUGAUCCAUGACGCUGGAAGUAUUUUAAAGACAUUGACCCAGAAUCUCAGGAAUGGAGCUGGGGGUGGUAGAAAUGCCCGGUCUGUUCCUAUAUCUGCAGUUCAGGUUAUGUGAUCUUCCCGUGCUGCUUCAAAACCACAAAACACUGCGGGGGUGUUUGUGAAUUUGCACAACUCUUAUACUGCACCAUUGUAUGGUAAGUUAUACUGGAGCCUCUCCUGAGCUCAUUAACAAAAGCCCAUUGUGUGAGGGUGUUAUGCCCCACGUGCUCAGCCCGGGACAUGUACGUGUCUCAUGAAAGUAUUGG